rnacentral:piRNA from 2 species
UAUGAUUCUGGUGCAAAGUGCUU